GCCUACGGGGGGCAGCAGUGGGGAAUAUUGCACAAUGGGGGAAACCCUGAUGCAGCGACGCCGCGUGAGUGAAGAAGUAUCUCGGUACGUAAAGCUCUAUCAGCAGGGAAGAAAAAAAGUCUUUGGCUUUGGACGGUACCUGACUAAGAAGCCCCGGCUAACUACGUGCCAGCAGCCGCGGUAAUACGUAGGGGGCAAGCGUUAUCCGGAUUUACUGGGUGUAAAGGGAGCGUAGACGGCAUAGCAAGUCUGAAGUGAAAGCCCGUGGCUCAACCGCGGAACUGCUUUGGAAACUGUUAAGCUGG
rnacentral:rRNA from 1 species